GUUUAUCACCAUCCCAGAUGGAAUAUACCCGAUCUCGUCUGAUCUCGGGAGUCAAGCAAUCUCGGGCUUGGUUAGUACUAGGAUGGGUGCCCGCUUGGGAAUACCAAGUGUGAUAAGCA
rfam:Ciona savignyi cont_36967, whole genome shotgun sequence.